rnacentral:rRNA from 1 species
CCCUUAGAUGUUCUGGGCCGCACGCGCGCUACACUGAUGAAUUCAACGAGCUCCUAACCUAGGCCGAAGGGUCCGGGUAAUCUUUGAAAUUUCAUCGUGAUGGGGAUAGAUUAUUGCAAUUAUUAAUCUUCAACGAGGAAUUCCUAGUAAGCGCAAGUCAUCAGCUCGCGUUGAUUACGUCCCUGCCCUUUGUACACACCGCCCGUCGCUCCUACCGAUUGAAUGGUCCGGUGAAAUGUUCGGACCGCGACAAGGCGGACGGUUCGCUGUCAGCUUUGCUGCGGGAAGUUCAUUAAACCUUAUCAUUUAGAGGAAGGAGAAGUCGUANCA